rnacentral:rRNA from 1 species
AUGCAGGCGUGGUUCUCCGGCUCUGGGCCCUCGCCCUCCUCGUCGGCGGCGUCUUCGCAGCCGCCGCCGUCUCUGCUCGCGGAAUGGAACUCCUACGCCGCCGCCCGCUCCGCGGAGGAGGAUGUCGGCGGAGGAUUCGGGAUCGACAUCGAGGCCGCCGUCCGCUCCGCCAACGACCGCGUCACCGGCACCUUCGGCGUGGUAUCUAAAGGAGUUAGAGGGUUCCCUGGCAGCUUCCAGUCCUCAACAAGCAGUGUUCCAUCUGGCAAAUCUCUCAUGUAUUUCGGUCUUUUUCUUGCCAGUGGCAUUUUCCUAGUUUUCAUCGCGUUCACAAUAUUCCUGCCAGUCAUGGUAAUAAUGCCUCAAAAGUUUGCAAUCUGUUUCACGAUGGGAUGUGCCUUCAUCAUUGGAUCUUUCUUUGCAUUGAAAGGGCCCAAGAAUCAGCUCUAUCAUAUGAUUUCCAGAGAGAGGUUACCUUUCACCAUUGGAUUUGUUGGCAGCAUGUUUGCUACCAUCUAUGUGUCAAUGGUGCUCCAUAGCUACAUACUUUCUGUUCUCUUCUCUUGUCUUCAGAUCCUUGCGCUAGUAUACUAUGCCAUCUCAUACUUCCCUGGUGGAUCUGCUGGAAUGAAGUUUCUGUCAUCUACCCUUGUGGCCUCAGUGUUGAGAUGCUUCGGGCGAUGA